AACGCACAUUGCGCCCCUUGGUAUUCCGAGGGGCAUGCCUGUUCGAGCGUCAUUAUAACCACUCAAGCUUAAGCUUGGUAUUGGGGUUCACGGUUUUGUGGCUCUUAAAAACAGUGGCGGUGCCGUCUGGCCCUAAGCGUAGUAAUUCUCUCGCUAUAGGAUUUGGCGGUUGCUUGCCAAAACCCCCCACUUCUAUGGUUGACCUCGGAUCAGGUAGGGAUACCCGCUGAACUUAA
rnacentral:misc_RNA from 1 species